CACAGGGGACCAGAAGCCUACUGUAGUACUGUAGCAAACUAUACAGCAUUAAACGCUGCUAGAUAGGAGUGCCAUUCUUUCUCCAGGCAAGAAUUGGAUAGAAGAUCAAGGAGUUGCUCAAAGAGAUCAGAAUUGUCGGUAAAGGCCACUAUCUCCAGAACCUUAAGACCCUUAAUUUUUACCAUGUUGUAAAUGCUUGGGAGCAGUUUAUAAGAUCAAGGAGUGAGUUAGACAUAUCAGAAUCGCCAACAAAAACCUCAUAACCGAGUACCUUGAGACCAAAUCUUAUACUUUUUAAUGUUACCAAGUGACUUGUUACUGCUUUGGAGACAGUUUACAUCUUGCCAUGAAUUCAAGCACUCUUGAAUGUAUAGAUGCUACUUGGCAAACAUCUCCAUUAUUGCAGUUUUAUCCACCGAGUGAAGAAGCUAGUACAAUACCAAUCCGGACUUCUGCAACAGGGAUCUUAAUCUUUAUUCCCAUUGAUCUUUGUUGCACACACAGGUUUUUAUGUAGACCAGAGACCGAUCAAUCUUUCAGAGGCUGUCAGCCUGUCACUUAUCCUUCAGCCAUUUUCAAUAGUUCCACCUGCAGAAAAAGUCCUGUGUGUUAGAAAACCCAGAUAAAGUACAGCCACAGUGAAACUGUGAAGGACUAGAAGUGUAUUACCAAUGGGGUGAAGGACUUGGCCGGUAAUGUAAGACGAGCAGUGAUUGCAAUUUACAAUAGGUGGGGGCAACCUCGAUAGGUUGGCCAGCUCUCUUCAUUGGCACCUCAGCACCAAAUUGAGCUACUUCCUCCUCCGUGAAGGAAGCAGGUAUCAAGGGAGUCCAAAUGGGUCCUGGGGCAACCCCGUUCGCUGACUCUUAUUCCCUUGCUCACCAAUUGAAGCGACAGACCCCCCGUAAAUGCCACGAGCGCACCCUUUAUGGCUGUGUAGUCCAGUAAUUUAGCAUGGCCUCUGUUAUGCAUUCGCUGAUGUGGUGUUGAUGAUGCUGCUUCCUCCCUUCACGUGCUUCAGGGCAUGCCUAUAUCCAGCCUCGUACUGCUCAGCUGCAUUAUUGAUCAGAAUGUCAAUGCGGCCAAACGCUUUGACGACCUCGUCCACUACUUUCUUGCAGUUUCCAUCAAAGCCCAAGUCAGCCGUAUGGCCAUGGGCUCCUUGGCAUCCGCAGUUUUUGCCUUCUUGAUCAUUUCAACCGUGUCCUUCGCAUCCUUGUCUUCAUGUCCCUUCACAUAUGUGAAGGCCAGAGUGGCACCUUCCAAGGCAAACAAAUUGCAUACGGCUCGCCCAACCCCCGAGUCGCCUCCAGUAAUUAGGGAACGGAUUUGGGUGCUCAUCACAGUGAUGUGGUGAGAUCGGAAUGGUUCAGAUAUCAAACAUUAUUAUAUAUUCUAUUUAUUAAAAUAAAAAUAUAUAAAAAUUAUAAAAUAAUUUUAAUAAAUUUUUUAUUUUUAACGUUAAAAAUAAAAAAAUUAAAAUUAUUUUUAAUUUUUAUUAAUUAAAAAUAUAUAAUAAUCUUUUAAAUCUAAAUCAUUUAUAUCAAAAUUUAGAUGGUAUAGAUGUGUGGUGCCCAUCACUGUGAGGAGCACCCAAACCAGACUCGGUAAUCAGUGCCACCUUCCCCUAAAGCACACGAACAACGAGCAAGUGUCGGGUUCAUGGCAUGCUCUUUCCCGGGAAGUUCUUCUUGUUUCUGUUGGGGGGGGGGUGGGUUGUUGAUCGCCGGAAGGUUUUGUAAACAGACAGACAGGGAUUCUCCGGAGUUCUGGGAGCGUGAUUUAAAGGAUGGGCUUCGGCUAGUUGUAGAUCUGGAACAAGCGAUGAGGCAAUCUCGGGUGGCUGCACGUGUGAUUGUGAUGGCACCGUGACGAGUUUAUAUGGAGAAUUUGAUUAUGCCACGCGCCGACCAAUGGCCGAAGGAGUUCUUUACGUGUCGUGUUAAUCGCAUGCAUUGGACACGUCUGGAGACCAUGAGUUGGUUUGAACUGUGUAGCAGAAAUGCAUUUGCCUUUGUUCAAAAGAAAAAGGAAAAAAAAAAAAGGAAGAGCAGUGAUUCAAUUCAUUUUGCAAGACCCAGAAAAUUCAGAUUAUUUUGAAUUGGUUUGAAUCAGUUGCUCCAAAUUUGAUACAGUAGAUUUAAUGAGUUGAAUUGUUGG